rnacentral:rRNA from 1 species
GAUGAACGCUGGCGGCGUGCUUAACACAUGCAUGUCGAACGAAGCACCUUGAUUUGAUUCUUCGGAUGAAGAUCUUGGUGACUGAGUGGCGGACGGGUGAGUAACGCGUGGGUAACCUGCCUCAUACAGGGGGAUAACAGUUAGAAAUGACUGCUAAUACCGCAUAAGACCACAGCACCGCAUGGUGCAGGGGUAAAAACUCCGGUGGUAUGAGAUGGACCCGCGUCUGAUUAGGUAGUUGGUGGGGUAACGGCCUACCAAGCCGACGAUCAGUAGCCGACCUGAGAGGGUGACCGGCCACAUUGGGACUGAGACACGGCCCAAACUCCUACGGGAGGCAGCAGUGGGGAAUAUUGCACAAUGGGGGAAACCCUGAUGCAGCGACGCCGCGUGAGAGAUGAAGUAUUUCGGUAUGUAAAGCUCUAUCAGCAGGGAAGAAAAUGACGGUACCUGACUAAGAAGCACCGGCUAAAUACGUG